rnacentral:rRNA from 1 species
AUGGUCAUGUUCCUCCAGCACCUCCCGACCAGGAACUGGGCUCGCACCACAAGAUCUGAGACGGUCCUCUCUGGGGCAUACAUGUGGCACAGCGAUGUUCAAGAGCUCACCCAGCCAUCUCACCAGCUAGGAGGACUAUGCAUGCGGCUGUUGGUCAUGCCUGGGAGCAGUCCAGAUUCCGUUGUACUCUAG